rnacentral:rRNA from 1 species
UACAGAGGGUGCGAGCGUUGUCCGGAAUCACUGGGCGUAAAGGGCGCGUAGGCGGCCCCGUGCGCGUGUCGUGAAAGCCCGGGGCUCAACCCCGGGUCGGCGGUGCGGACGGCGGGGCUGGAGCACGCCAGAGGCGGGCGGAAUUCCGGGUGUAGCGGUGGAAUGCGUAGAGAUCCGGAAGAACACCGGGGGCGAAGGCGGCCCGCUGGGGUGUGGCUGACGCUGAGGCGCGACAGCGUGGGGAGCAAACAGG